rfam:Thauera terpenica 58Eu Cont1, whole genome shotgun sequence.
CCCGGGGUUCAGCCCCCGGUAGUCUAGGAGCGGUGCGCCACUGGUAACGGUGGGGUGCUAAGCGCUCUGACAAUGUAGCCACCUUACGGGGUACGUCAUGCCCCGUGAGGGGUCUGGCGUGAUUUCGGGAGUUGCACCCGGAUGAGGCG